CCCCCCCCCCCCCCCCCCCCCCCCCCCCCCCCCCCCCCCCCCCCCCCACUAUUCCCCGCUCCAUCCCUAAUUAUCCCUAAUUAGCCCUGCCCACUUCUCCACCCCAGCCCUAAUUAGCCAAAUUAUCCCCGCCCACAUCAAGCCACGCCCAACAUCCCAUCCUCAACCCUAAUUACUGUAAGAAGCCCCGCCCACCACCCACCCCAUCUCUAAUUAGCUCCCAUAACCACCCUGUUUCCCACCCCCAAACCGUAAUUUGCCAAAUUAGCCAUCCCAAACCCUAAUUAGCCCUAAUUAACCCAGCUCACCGCUGUCCCAUGCCCAUAUAUGGUGUGAUAGCCCCGCCCACCGCAGUCACAUGCCCAUAUACUGUGUGAUAGCUCCGCCCACGUCCAUAUAUGGUGUGUUAGCCCCGCCCACCGCCAUCCCAUGCCCAUAUAUGGUGUCUUAGCCCCGCCCAUCGCGUCACACGCCCAUAUACGGUGUGUUAGCCCCGCCCACCGCCAUCAUAUGCCCAUAUAAGGGGGCCAUGGGGACAUUGCGGGGGACACCAGGACAGGGGGACACACGGGGGAGGUGGCAUUUGGGGGGGGGAGGGGACGCUCUGACCCCUCGUUGUCCCCACAGGUCCCCAGGGCUGCGGAAAUGUCCCCAGCGGCCAUGGGGGACACUGGGGACACUGGGGACACGGGGGUGGCCCUGUCCCAUGCGCUGCUCUGUGUCACCAGCCUGGGCUGUGCCCUCCGAGCCAGACAGGUGACAGGUGAUAAUCCCGUGUCCCCACGGGUGACUGCUCCAGUCUCAUGUCCCCAUGUCCCCACAGGUGACAAUCAUGUCCCCACAGGUGCCUGCUGCCAGUCUCAUGUCACGCUGUCCCCAUGUCCCCACAGGUGACAAUCAUGUCCCUACAGGUGCCAGGCGCCAGUCUCAUGUCCCCAUGUCCCCACAGGUGACAAUCAUGUCCCCACAGGUGACAGGUGAUAAUCCCGUGUCCCCACAGGUGCCAGGCGCCAGUCUCAUGUCCCCAUGUCCCCACAGGUGACAAUCAUGUCCCCACAGGUGACAGGUGAUAAUCCCGUGUCCCCAUGUCCCCACAGGUGACAGGCGGCCCCGCCGCCGGCUUCCUGCUGCAGGCUCUGGUGGCCGCCAGCUCGGCGCUGUCCCCUGGCUGUCCCGGUGUCGCCGGCCCCCCGCCGGGCUCCUGGCUCUGCUCGGUGCUGGCGCAGCCGCUGGUGGCCCCCCCCCCCCCCCCCCCCCCCCCCCCCCCCCCCCCCCCCCCCCCCCCCCCCCCCCCCCCCCCCCCCC
rnacentral:lncRNA from 12 species